rnacentral:rRNA from 1 species
GUUCUCAUUGAGGCCCGUUAUCGGAAUGAGUACAAUCCAAACCCUUUAACGAGGAUCUAUCAGAGGGCAAGUCUGGUGCCAGCAGCCGCGGUAAUUCCAGCUCUGAAGGUGUAUACCACCGUUGUUGCGGUUAAAACGCUCGUAGUUGGAUCUACGUUCGUGGGGUCGGUGUUCUCGUUUGAGUUCUACUGACUACCUGAACUGAAACCUGGUUUUCCCUUGGUGCUCUUUAUUGGGUGCCCUGGGUGGCUAGCAAGUUUACUUUGAAAAAAUUAGAGUGCUCAAAACAGGCGCAUGCCUGAAUAGUGGUGCAUGGAAUAAUGGAAUAGGAUCUUGGUCCUAUUUUGCUGGUUUUCGGGAGCCAAGAUAAUGAUUAAGAGGGACAGACGGGGGCAUUCGUAUUGCAGCGUUAGAGGUGAAAUUCUUGGAUCGUUGCAAGACGAACAACUGCGAAAGCAUUUGCCAAGAAUGUUUUCAUUAAUCAAGAACGAAAGUUAGAGGUUCGAAGGCGAUCAGAUACCGCCCUAGUUCUAACCGUAAACGAUGCCAACUCGCGAUCUAGUGGUGUUAUUAUGACCCGCUAGGGAGCGUCCCGGAAACGAAAGUUUUUCGGUUCCGGGGGAAGUAUGGUUGCAAAUCUGAAACUUAAAGGAAUUGACGGAAGGGCACCACCAGGAGUGGAGCCUGCGGCUUAAUUUGACCCAACACGGGAAAACUCACCCGGCCCGGACACCGUAAGGAUUGACAGAUUGAGAGCUCUUUCUUGAUUCGGUGGGUGGUGGUGCAUGGCCGUUCUUAGUUGGUGGAGCGAUUUGUCUGGUUAAUUCCGAUAACGAACGAGACUCUAUCCUACUAAAUAGCAAGCGGAUCAGCCCAGUCCGCAGUGCUUCUUAGAGGGACAAGCAGCUUUUAGCUGCACGAAAGUGAGCAAUAACAGGUCUGUGAUGCCCUUAGAUGUCCGGGGCUGCACGCGCGCUACACUGAAAGGAUCAGCGUGCAAGAUACCUUCCCCGAGAGGGGUGGGUAACCCAAUCAAAACCUUUCGUGAUUGGGAUAGGAGAUUGCAAUUAUUCUCCUUGAACGAGGAAUUCCCAGUAAGUGUGGGUCAUCAGCUCGCGCUGAUUACGUCCCUGCCCUUUGUACACACCGCCCGUCGCUGCCCGGAACUGAGCCGUUUCGAGAAGAACAGGGACUGCUGUUUGGUGGCCUUCGGGUUGCCUCUUGGCGGAAACUGUUUU